UACUGGAGACAGGUGCUGCAUGGCUGUCGUCAGCUCGUGUCGUGAGAUGUUGGGUUAAGUCCCGCAACGAGCGCAACCCUUGCCUUUAGUUGCCAGCAGUUCGGCUGGGCACUCUAAAGGGACUGCCGGUGUUAAACCGGAGGAAGGUGGGGAUGACGUCAAGUCCUCAUGGCCUUUAUGACCAGGGCUACACACGUACUACAAUGGCCGAUACAAAGGGCAGCGACACUGCGAGGUGAAGCCAAUCCCGUAAAAUCGGUCUCAGUCCGGAUUGGAGUCUGAAACUCGACUUCAUGAAGUUGGAAUCGCUAGUAAUCGCGCAUCAGCAUGGCGCGGUGAAUACGUUCCCGGGCCUU
rnacentral:rRNA from 1 species